GUUCAUUGUAAGCCUGCAACAAAAAAAAUAAAGCUCAAGCCUCGACAUAGAGGGCAACGAAUGUUAUUCGCAAGACAACAUUUGAAUACACCCCAAGAAAAAUGGAAUGCCGUUGUUUGGAUGGAUGAAAAAGUUUUUUCAUCCGCAGAAGAAGGGCGAUAUCGAGUCUGACGAUCAAAGGGACAGAAAUCCGGUUGUGGCGACGCUUGAAACUAAUUGCAGUCUCAGCGAGAUUAAAAAUUGAAAUUUUACAUUUGAAAUAGAUCAGCGGACUUUUCAUAUUUACAAGCGAGUAGUUAAAUCUAGAAGUUUCGAGAAGGUCGAUCGGCCGUGGCAGGCUAUUGUUGUUUCGUAUUGUCGGAUGUAUAUUUUGACGAAGCGUGAUGUGUCAUACGAAAACUUGUUGACGCGAAGAUCGGCCGUUUACCUUUGAAUACGGAGAACUAGCCAAUUAAAAUCUGCCACAGCUGAUGGAGAGUUAGUGGGAGAUCUCGCGCCACAGUGCCCCGUGAGAAAAAUUAGGAGCUUCGCCUCCGAGACGUAACGGAGUACAGACGUCGCGUUCAGGAGAUUUAAUUAUCGAGUUCCGAGUAUUAGGAGCAUUGUCGUGAGUUGCCCGGGUGCUUAGGGCUGCGAGCCUGUUUGGAUUCUUGUGGGAAUGUCGGUGCGAAUAAAGACAGCGAGAAUAUUUUAAUACGACUAACUUUGUUUUAUUGGUGACUUCCAAAUAUCUUUAUCUUAUAUCUUAUCCUCCUCCGACUUACAUUUGGUCUAACAACGGCUUGACGGACCAUUAACCUUUCUUUUUUUUUAUUUUAUACGGGUGAUCCGUGAAUCGCACGCGUACGACCACACGGUUAAAUCCGAAGUAUGUUCUUCCAUCAAGAACUAGCAGCAGAAUCACAUUAGGCUUCUGGGGAUGCAUGACGUCUCAUGGAUUAGUAGAACUCACAGAGAUAUCCCCAAGGAUGGAUAUGUGGAUAUGCGGAAGAAUAUGUGGAAAUUUUAGAAGAAAUAUUAAAACCGGCAAUUAGACGAAUUUUCCCUGAAGAUCAAUAUCCAAUUGUUAAGAUAGCACAAGACAAUAGUGCCAUUCAUACUUCCAGAUUGGUGCAAGCAUGGUUCACUGAAAAUCCAGACAUUUAACAAAUUAGAUGGCCAGCAAAGUCUCCAGACUUAAACCCAAUAGAAAAUGUUUGGGCUCAAAUGAAGUUAUCAUGGAGAGCUGGUCAACUCAGGACAAGAGAUGCUUUAAGAAACCACAUGCAUCAAGUUUGGCAACAAUUAUCGCAGAAAGAAGGAUAUACACAGAAUUUAAUUUAUUCUAUGCAAAGAAGAUUACAGCUGGUAAUAGAAAAAGAAUAUUGGAUACUGUAUUAAAUAUGUCACACAUUAGUUUGAAUUUGGUGAAAAAACGCUUUGAAACAUCGUUGCCAAA